GAUCAUGGCUCAGGAUGAACGCUGGCGGCGUGCUUAACACAUGCAAGUCGAACGGGAAACAUUUUAUUGAAGCUUCGGCAGAUUUAGCUUGUUUCUAGUGGCGGACGGGUGAGUAACGCGUGGGUAACCUGCCUUAUACCGGGGGAUAACAGCCAGAAAUGGCUGCUAAUACCGCAUAAGCGCACAGAACCGCAUGGUUCCGUGUGAAAAACUCCGGUGGUAUAAGAUGGACCCGCGUUAGAUUAG
rnacentral:rRNA from 1 species